AGUGAUUCAAUAGUUGCCAUAUGCAAGACGUUUUACAUAGACAGUGGUGCCCCUAUUAUUUUCUACUCUUUUUUGCCAGACUGUAUAUAGACGGUCAAGCAAAUCGUGAGAACAAAAUUCAAAUUUUCUAUGGGACGACAAUGUAUGAGCACAUUAUUCAAAUUUGCCGCCAUUUUUUACUCUCAUGCUUUGCUUAACCAUCUAUAGUUACAUUAUCUAGGUUGGACUUGUGAUUACUGAUGUAUUUAUUGGGUAAAAAAAAACUGAUACUGGCAACAUUCUCAAGUUGUCAUCCAACAAACCAAGCUAACGGCCGAAUGUGAUCUGCUCGUGUACUGUUCUGUGCUCUUUUCGCUCGUUUUUUUGCGUCGUUGUCAUUGCUGUGAAAGUGUUAUGGUGGUAAAAUUAACUUGGUGAUUGCAAUCGCAAGUAUACCUACUAAAAUAAUGGAAGAAGACACAGAAAACAAAUUGGUAUCCUGGGAUUUGCCGUCAGUAGUCGUCGAGAACUUUAAAAAAAAUGAUAUAAGCAAGGAACAGUUCAAAUAUUUGGUUUUAAAUGAUACUUGAAAGAGCUUUGCAAACACAUUGUGCACCGAAUUAAACUAAAAAGUAAACUACAAGAUUACUUAGACUCAGUUACUGAUACUGAAACUGCAUACUUCUUCAAUGAAGAUUUAAUGGUUAUUAAAGCGAAAACAAACUGUAUAGAAGUGAUGCAAGUUGAUCAAGAUCAGUCAGUUAUUCUGACAGACAUUACUUUGGAUUUGGAUUCCUACUUAAGUGUACCAAGUAGGCUUUCACUGCCAUAAUUUGAAUUGAAGAGUAUCCGCCAAUGUACUCCACAAGUAAAUAGUGUUCUAAAUUAUUAUCAAAAAUACAAACAAUUGAACUCGCAAAAAAGAAGCAUCAUUGUUGAUGUUUUGGUGAAAUAUCACUACACAUUUAUUGUUAACAACAACAUCAAACCAGAAGAAUUCAAUUUGCUAGCUGCAAAAAUAGUUUCACUUUUCCCAACUGAAAGUAUAUAUACCUACUAUAUGAAAGCU